rnacentral:rRNA from 1 species
CACGUAGGCGGAUCGAUCAGUCAGGGGUUAAAUCCCAGGGCUCAACCCUGGAACUGCCUUUGAUACUGUCGAUCUGGAGUAUGGAAGAGGUGAGUGGAAUUCCGAGUGUAGAGGUGAAAUUCGUAGAUAUUCGGAGGAACACCAGUGGCGAAGGCGGCUCACUGGUCCAUUACUGACGCUCAUGCACGAAAGCGUGGGGAGCAAACAGGAUUAGAUACCCGUGUA